rnacentral:rRNA from 1 species
CAAUAAGCGGAGGAAAAGAAACCAACAGGGAUUGCCCUAGUAACGGCGAGUGAAGCGGCAACAGCUCAAAUUUGAAAUCUGGCUACUUUGUAGUCCGAGUUGUAAUUUGUAGAGGAUGCUUUUGGUGAGGUGCUUUCUGAGUUCCCUGGAACGGGACGCCAGAGAGGGUGAGAGCCCCGUACAGUUAGCAACCGAUCCUUUGUAUAGCUCCUUCGACGAGUCGAGUAGUUUGGGAAUGCUGCUCUAAAUGGGAGGUAUAUCUCUUCUAAAGCUAAAUAUAGGCUAGAGACCGAUAGCGCACAAGUAGAGUGAUCGAAAGAUGAAAAGCACUUUGAAAAGAGAGUUAAACAGCACGUGAAAUUGUUGAAAGGGAAGCGCCUAUGACCAGACUUGUUUCUAUCAGUUUUGGUAGUUUUCGGACUGCUUUACUCUGUUAGUACAGGCCAACAUCAGUUUGUUGUCGGGGAGAAAGGCUUAGGGAAUGUGGCUCCCUCGGGAGUGUUAUAGAUCUUUGCAUAAUACCNUUCGGCAGACUGAGGACCGCGCUUCGGCAAGGAUGUUGGCGUAAUGGUUAUCAGCGACCCGUCUUGAAACACGGACCAAGGAGUCAACCUUAUAUGCGAGUGUUUGGGUGUAAAACCCCAGCGCGUAAUGAAAGUGAACGUAGGUGAGAGCUUCGGCGCAUCAUCGACCGAUUCUGAUGUUCUCGGAUGGAUUUGAGUAAGAGCAUAUAGGGUUGGACCCGAAAGAAGGUGAACUAUGCUUGUAUAGGGUGAAGCCAGAGGAAACUCUGGUGGAGGCUCGCAGCGGUUCUGACGUGCAAAUCGAUCGUCAAAUAUGAGCAUGGGGGCGAAAGACUAAUCGAACCUUCUAGUAGCUGGUUCCAGCCGAAGUUUCCCUCAGGAUAGCAGUGUUGAGCUUCAGUUUUAUGAGGUAAAGCGAAUGAUUAGGGACUCGGGGGCGCUAUAUUGCCUUCAUCCAUUCUCAAACUUUAAAUAUGUAAGAAGCUCUUGUUACUUAAUUGAACGUGAGCAUUCGAAUGUAUCAACACUAGUGGGCCAUUUUUGGUAAGCAGAACUGGCGAUGCGGGAUGAACCGAUCGCGUGGAUAAGGCGCCAGAGUGAACGCUCAUCAGACACCACAAAAGGUGUUAGUACAUCUUGACAGCAGGACGGUGGCCAUGGAAGUCGGAAUCCGCUAAGGACUGUGUAACAACUCACCUGCCGAAUGUACUAGCCCUGAAAAUGGAUGGCGCUCAAGCGUUCCGCCCAUACCACGCCCUCAGAGUAGGAUCUAUGCUCUGAGGAGUAGGCUGGCGUAGAGGUCAGUG